rnacentral:misc_RNA from 1 species
AAGUCGUAACAAGGUAACCGUAGGUGAACCUGCGGAAGGAUCAUUAACACGUAUCCACGUUAUCAACCAACUGUGAACUUGUUCUCAACUCUCCCUGCCGGCAACAUGAAUUGGCUAAUUCGUUAGGAUCGAUGAAAUGGGAGUCGCUCUCGGGUGACUCAGGCCUAAUGAAUGACAUGGGUAGGCACUUCGGUGCCUGCACUAACAAUUGUAGUCGUCGCGUCAGGCAAACCCUUUCUGCUAUUGCUUCGUCCUUUCAUGGAAGCGAUAGUGGGAUAAAUUAAACACGAUAAUCACCACACUUUUUGCUAGUUGACUUUUAUAUGUUGGUCUCGUAUUGUUCUUCAUUGAGCAGUAAGGAAUCACACGUUUCUUAAUUGAACGUUAAAAUUACAACUCUUAGCAAUGGAUAUCUUGGUUCUC